CCCGCCGCCGCACGCGCUCCCAGAGCAGGUGCAGGGCGUGGCCCGCCUCGCGCAGGGCGCCCUUGUACUGGGCCUUGGCCUCCUGCUCCCGCCCGAGCCACCUGCGUCGGCAAAGGGCCAAGGUGACGCCGGCGGCCGCUCGGAGCGGCGCGUUCUGGUGGGACGUGGAGGCCUCAGCCGCGGGGGGCGGGGGGCGGGGCGCUCACCCCACCUGCGCCCUUGGCCUGCUGCCCGUGCCGCCCACACACUCACCUGUGCGGUUGCACCCGAUUGAAACGUGCACACGCUGGUCGCCGCGAGGCUGGCUGCGAGAGGGGACUCUGCUGCCGGGGUGCCCUCAGCUGUCCGGGUGCCCCGCCAAGCCCCGGGCACCCAAGGGCGCAGGCCUGCGCGGGCGGGGGGGGGGGGGGCUCGGGUUGGGGGCGUGCAGCCCGGGACAGCAGAGUCUGGAGGCCGGGUGUGUGCGGGCCCUGGAGGGGCAGGCCCCUGUCGCCUCCAUCGGGCUCGCUCUUCUGGGGGGUGCCAGCCAGCACCAGGACCAGCGUCAGACGGAGGCGACCUUUAGCCCUCUCCCGGAGUGUGGCACCGUGGACCCCCACCAGUGAGGCGGGCCCAGCUGGCUACCGGCCCCUAGGAACACGUUCUGCAGGGGGUACAGGCUGGCUCGGCCUCCCCCCAGGCCCAGGCGGGCAGCCGAGUGGGCACCACAGGGCAGGAGGCCGGGGAGACCCAAGCCCAAAGCUGCCUUCUCGGAGUUUCAGCCAAGCAGAGCGAGGCCUCCCCGGAGCCUAUGGGACCCCACUGGAGCCCGCCCUCCUCCCUGGGGGCCAGCCUCCACCUGCCUGAUGCACCGCAGCCCGGUCAUCCUCUGGACCCUCACCGGGUAAGCCCCAGACAGGGUCGCAUCCAGCCAGCCCCGCCCUCUCAGACGCCUCCACUCGGGCCUCCAGAAGGCAGCCCGGGUCAGCAAGCUCUCCUAAAUCCUCAGCCACCUCUGGGAGCCUUCCCUGUUGCCUCCCUGCCUCGCCCUGGAAGGCUGCUGUUCCCCAGGACCAUUGAUUGCCCCCCACAGCUCCCUCUGACAUCCCCAUCAUCCCAAAGUCUAAAAGGAAGAGGUCUUCACAGUUUCACAAGCAUUUCUUCUUCUUCUUCUUCUUUUUUUAAGCUCCCAGCUGCCUCAGAGCUCCUGUGA
rnacentral:lncRNA from 1 species